rnacentral:rRNA from 1 species
GACGAACGCUGGCGGCGUGCCUAAUACAUGCAAGUAGAACGAGUGGCGAACGGGUGAGAAACGCGUAGGUAACUGCCUCAUAGCGGGGGAUAAAUAUUGGGAAAGAUAGCUAAUACCGCAUACAGUGAGAUGGACCUGCGUUGUAUUAGCUAGUUGGUGAGGUAAAGGCUCACCAAGGCGACGAUACAUAGCCGGUCUGAGAGGGUGAUCGUCCACACUGGGACUGAGACACGGCCCAGACUCCUACGGGAGGCAGCAGUAGGGAAUCUUCCGCAAUGGACGGAAGUCUGACCGAGCAACGCCGCGUGAGUGAAGAAGGUUUUCGGAUCGUAAAGCUCUGUUGUUCUAGACGCGGUACCUAACCAGAAAGCGACGGCUAACUACGUGCCAGCAGCCGCGGUAAUAC